rnacentral:rRNA from 1 species
CSSSSGKGGUUGCAGUUAAAAGCUCGUAGUUGGAUUUCGGGUGGGUCUUAGCGGUCCGCCUCUGGUGAGUACUGCUAAGGCCUAUCUUUCUGCCGGGGACGGGCUCCUGGGUUUAAUCGCCUGGGACUCGGAGUCGGCGAAGUGACUUUGAGUAAAUUAGAGUGUUCAAAGCAAGCCUACGCUCUGAAUACAUUAGCAUGGAAUCACACGAUAGGACUCUGGCCUAUCUUGUUGGUCUGUAGGACCGGAGUAAUGAUUAAGAGGGACAGUCGGGGGCAUUCGUAUUUCAUUGUCAGAGGUGAAAUUCUUGGAUUUAUGAAAGACGAACUUCUGCGAAAGCAUUUGCCAAGGAUGUUUUCAUUAAUCAAGAACGAAAGUUGGGGGCUCGAAGA